GAAUACCAGAACGAAUAAUUAGCACUAGAAGUUGGUUUCCAAAAAAAAUUCUCAGAAGUUGGAUACAGAACUUAAAUUUCAUUAUAACCUUACAUAGGUAAGAAAAUUAAAGAGCAAAUUACACAAUAAAUCACUCCAUAAGCUCACCUUGCAGUAUUUUAACCCAAUUACAAGUUUGCAAAUGUGUAGCCAAAUAUCAAUAUGCUCAAAUCCG
rnacentral:lncRNA from 1 species